AGUCGAGGGGUAGGGUAGCAAUACCUGAGACCGGCGCACGGGUGCGUAACGCGUAUGCAACCUACCUUUUACAGGGGAAUAGCCCAGAGAAAUUUGGAUUAAUGCCCCAUGGUAUAUUUUAGUGGCAUCACUGGAUUAUUAAAGUUCCAACGGUAAAAGAUGGGCAUGCGUCCUAUUAGCUAGAUGGUAAGGUAACGGCUUACCAUGGCUACGAUAGGUAGGGGUCCUGAGAGGGAGAUCCCCCACACUGGUACUGAGACACGGACCAGACUCCUACGGGAGGCAGCAGUGAGGAAUAUUGGACAAUGGGCGCAAGCCUGAUCCAGCCAUGCCGCGUGCAGGAAGAAGCAUCUAUGGUGUGUAAACUGCUUUUGUACGGGAAGAAACACUCCUACGUGUAGGAGCUUGACGGUACCGUAAGAAUAAGGAUCGGCUAACUCCGUGCCAGCAGCCGCGGUAAUACGGAGGAUCCAAGCGUUAUCCGGAAUCAUUGGGUUUAAAGGGUCCGUAGGCGGUUUGGUAAGUCAGUGGUGAAAGCCCUUCGCUCAACGGAGGAACGGCCAUUGAUACUGCCAGACUUGAAUUACUGGGAAGUAACUAGAAUAUGUAGUGUAGCGGUGAAAUGCUUAGAUAUUACAUGGAAUAC
rnacentral:rRNA from 1 species